GGCCUCGUGGUCUAGUGGUAUGAUUCUCGUUUCGGGUGCGAGAGGUCCCGGGUUCGAUUCCGGUGAGGCCC
rnacentral:tRNA from 1 species